UACGUAGGGCGCAAGCGUUAUCCGGAAUUAUUGGGCGUAAAGAGCUCGUAGGCGGUUUGUCGCGUCUGCCGUGAAAGUCCGGGGCUCAACUCCGGAUCUGCGGUGGGUACGGGCAGACUAGAGUGAUGUAGGGGAGACUGGAAUUCCUGGUGUAGCGGUGAAAUGCGCAGAUAUCAGGAGGAACACCGAUGGCGAAGGCAGGUCUCUGGGCAUUAACUGACGCUGAGGAGCGAAAGCAUGGGGAGCGAACAGGAUUAGAUACCCUGGUAGUCC
rnacentral:rRNA from 1 species